rnacentral:rRNA from 1 species
ACGGAAGGCAGCAGUGGGGAAUAUUGGACAAUGGGGGAAACCCUGAUCCAGCGACGCCGCGUGAGUGAAGAAGUAUUUCGGUAUGUAAAGCUCUAUCAGCAGGGAAGAUAAUGACGGUACCUGACUAAGAAGCCCCGGCUAACUACGUGCCAGCAGCCGCGGUAAUACAUAGGGGGCAAGCGUUAUCCGGAUUUACUGGGUGUAAAGGGAGCGUAGACGGCAUGGCAAGUCUGAAGUGAAAGGCAAGGGCUCAACCCUUGGACUGCUUUGGAAACUGUCAAGCUAGAGUGCAGGAGAGGUAAGUGGAAUUCCUAGUGUAGCGGUGAAAUGCGUAGAUAUUAGGAGGAACACCAGUGGCGAAGGCGGCUUACUGGACUGUAACUGACGUUGAGGCUCGAAAGCGUGGGGAGCAAACAGGAUUAGAUACCCUGGUA